UACAGAGGUGGCAAGCGUUGUUCGGAAUUACUGGGCGUAAAGGGCGCGUAGGCGGCCUUCUAAGUCAGACGUGAAAUCCCUGGGCUCAACCCAGGGCCUGCAUCGAAACUGUCGGGCUUGAGUAUGGGAGAGGUGAGUGGAAUUUCCGGUGUAGCGGUGAAAUGCGUAGAUAUCGGAAGGAACACCUGUGGCGAAAGCGGCUCACUGGACCAUUACUGACGCUGAGGCACGAAAGCUAGGGGAGCAAACAGG
rnacentral:rRNA from 1 species